AUCGAACGCUGGCGGCAGGCCUAACACAUGCAAGUCGAACGAGUGGCGGACGGGGGAGUAAUGUCUGGGAAACUGCAUGAUGGAGGGGGAUAACUACUGGAAACGGUAGCUAAUACCGCAUACCAUCAGCUGUGCCCAGAUGGGAUUAGCUAGUUGGUGGGGUAACGACUCACUAAGGCGACGAUCCCUAGCUGGUCUGAGAGGAUGACCAGCCAAACUGGAACUGAGACACGGUCCAGACGCCUACGGUAGGGAGCAGUGUGGAAUAUUGCGCAGUGGGCGCAAGCCUGAUACAGCCAUGCAACGUGUAUGAAGAAGGCCUUCCGGUUGUAAAGUACUUUCAGCGGGGAGGCGUUACCCGCAGAAGAAGCACCGGCUAACUCCGUGCCAGCAGCCGCGGUAAUAC
rnacentral:rRNA from 1 species